GACGAACGCUGGCGGCGUGCUUAAUACAUGCAAGUCGAACGGAAAGGCCCUGCUUUUGUGGGUUGCUCGAGUGGCGAACGGGUGUGUAACACGUGAGUAUCCUGUCCUUGUCUUUGGGAUAACUUCAGGAAACUGGGGCUAAUACCGGAUAGGAUCUCCUGCUGCAUGGUGGGGGAUGGAGAGUUUCGGCUGUUGGGGAUGGUCUCGCGGCUUAUCCGCUUGUUUGUGAGGUUGGGGCUUACCAAGGCUUUGACGGGUAGCCGGCCUGAGAGGUUGAACGGCCACAUUGGUACUGCGAGACGGCCCAGUCGCCUACGGGAGGCAGCAGUGGGGAAUAUUGCAGAAUGGGCGGAAGCCUGAUGCAGCAACGCCGCGUGCGGGAUGACGGCCUACGGGUGGUAAACCGCUGUCGCCUGAGACGAGGCGUGAGUGACGGUAACGGAUAAAGAAGCACCGGCUAACUACGUG
rnacentral:rRNA from 1 species